rnacentral:sRNA from 1 species
CAAUAAGCGGAGGAAAAGAAACCAACAGGGAUUGCCCUAGUAACGGCGAGUGAAGCGGCAACAGCUCAAAAUUUGAAAUCUGGCGUCUUCGGCGUCCGAGUUGUAAUUUGCAGAGGGCGCUUUGGCAUUGGCAGCGGUCCAAGUUCCUUGGAACAGGACGUCACAGAGGGUGAGAAUCCCGUACGUGGUCGCUAGCCUUUACCGUGUAAAGCCCCUUCGACGAGUCGAGUUGUUUGGGAAUGCAGCUCUAAAUGGGAGGUAAAUUUCUUCUAAAGCUAAAUACUGGCCAGAGACCGAUAGCGCACAAGUAGAGUGAUCGAAAGAUGAAAAGCACUUUGGAAAGAGAGUUAAAAAGCACGUGAAAUUGUUGAAAGGGAAGCGCUUGCAGCCAGACUUGCCUGUAGUUGCUCAUCCGGGUUUCUACCCGGUGCACUCUUCUACGGGCAGGCCAGCAUCAGUUUGGGCGGUUGGAUAAAGGUCUCUGUCAUGUACCUCUCUUCGGGGAGAACUUAUAGGGGAGACGACAUGCAACCAGCCUGGACUGAGGUCCGCGCAUCUGCUAGGAUGCUGGCGUAAUGGCUGUAAGCGGCCCGUCUUGAAACACGGACCAAGGAGUCUAACAUCUAUGCGAGUGUUUGGGUGUCAAGCCCGAGCGCGUAAUGAAAGUGAACGGAGGUGGGAACCCUUCGGGGUGCACCAUCGACCGAUCCUGAUGUCUUCGGAUGGAUUUGAGUAAGAGCAUAGCUGUUGGGACCCGAAAGAUGGUGAACUAUGCUUGAAUAGGGUGAAGCCAGAGGAAACUCUGGUGGAGGCUCGCAGCGGUUCUGACGUGCAAAUCGAUCGUCAAAUUUGGGCAUAGGGGCGAAAGA